UCACACAAGAGACCCAAACCAAUCGUUAACGGCGUAAAGAGUGGACUCAUGCCUAUCACAACAUUUAAGGUCGAAACGUAACUGAGCUGUCAUAAGCUUAAGGUACGCCUAAAGCCUCCCUGAACAUGGUCUUAAUUGAUAUGAUCUAUUAAACUCCACGAAAGCCAGGACACAAACUGGGAUUAGAUACCCCACUAUGCCUGGCCCUAAAUCUAGAUGCUUAUGUUACUAAAGCAUCCGCCCGAGGACUACGAGCACAAACGCUUAAAACUCUAAGGACUUGGCGGUGCCCUAAACCCACCUAGAGGAGCCUGUUCUAUAAUCGAUAACCCACGAUGCACCCGACCACUUCUUGCCAAACACAGCCUACAUACCGCCGUCGCCAGCUCACCUCUCCUGAAAGUACAGCAGUGAGCACAAUAGCCCCAGCCCCGCUAGCAAGACAGGUCAAGGUAUAGCCUAUGGAGUGGAAGAAAUGGGCUACAUUUUCUAACCUAGAACACCCCACGGAAGGGGCAUGAAACAGCCCCAGAAGGCGGAUUUAGCAGUAAAGCGGGAUAACAAAGCCCUCUUUAAACUGGCCCUGAGGCACGUACAUACCGCCCGUCACCCUCCUCACAAGCUUUAAACUUAUAAUAAAUAAUACGCCAGCCCGCUAAAGAUGAGGUAAGUCGUAACAAGGUAAGUGUACCGG
rnacentral:rRNA from 1 species